GGGCGUGUGGCUCAGUGGUAGAGCGUCCGCUUUGCAUGUCCUUCAUUUGAGGGAAGCAUCGCUGCGGAAGGUCCAGGUUUCGAUCACCUGCCCGUCCA
rnacentral:tRNA from 1 species